rnacentral:rRNA from 1 species
CCUACGGGAGGCAGCAGUGAGGAAUAUUGGUCAAUGGACGAAAGUCUGAACCAGCCAAGUAGCGUGAAGGAUGACGGCCCUAUGGGUUGUAAACUUCUUUUAUAAGGGACUAAAACGAGGCCCGUUUGCCUUUUUGCAUUUACUUUAUGAAUAAGGAUCGGCUAACUCCGUGCCAGCAGCCGCGGUAAUACGGGGGAGCCGGGCGUUACCCGGAUUUAUUGGGUUUAAAGGGAGCGUAGAUGGGUUGUUAAGUCAGUUGGAAAAGCUUGCGGCUCAACCGGAAAAUUGCCAUUGAUACUGGCAGUCUUGAGUACAGAUGAGGUAGGAGGAAUGCGUGGUGUAGCGGUGAAAUGCUUAGAUAUCACGCAGAACACCGAUUGCGAAGGCAGCUUACUAAACUGUGACUGACAUUGAUGCUCGAAAGUGUGGGUAUCAAACAGGAUUAGAUACCCUAGUAGUC